UACAGAGGUCUCAAGCGUUGUUCGGAUUCAUUGGGCGUAAAGGGGUGCGUAGGUGGCGCGCUAAGUCAGGUGUGAAAUUUCGGAGCUUAACUCCGAAACUGCAUUUGAUACUGGCGUGCUUGAGGACUGGAGAGGAGACUGGAAUUCACGGUGUAGCAGUGAAAUGCGUAGAUAUCGUGAGGAAGACCAGUGGCGAAGGCGGGUCUCUGGACAGUUCCUGACACUGAGGCACGAAGGCCAGGGGAGCAAACGGG
rnacentral:rRNA from 1 species